rnacentral:rRNA from 1 species
AUUGAACGCUGGCGGAAUGCUUUACACAUGCAAGUCGAACGGCAGCACGGGGGCAGCCCUGGUGGCGAGUGGCGAACGGGGGAGUAAUACAUCGGAACGUGCCCGGGCGUGGGGGAUAACGUAGCGAAAGUUACGCUAAUACCGCAUACGAUGUGAUGAUGAAAGAGGGGGACCUUCGGGCCUCGCGCGAUGGUAGCGGCGGAUGGCCGAUUAGGUAGUUGGUGGGGUAAAGGCCUACCAAGCCGAGGAUCUGUAGCUGGUCUGAGAGGACGACCAGCCACACUGGGACUGAGACACGGCCCCGACUCCUGCGGGAGGCAGCAGUGGGGAAUUUUGGACAAUGGGCGAAAGCCUGAUCCAGCCAAUCCGCGUGCAGGACGAAGGCCUUCGGGUUGUAAACUGCUUUUGUACGGAGCGAAAAGGCUCUGGCUAAUCCCUGGGGCUCAUGACGGUACCGUAAGAAUAAGCACCGGCUAACUACGUG